UGAUGCGCGCGAGACAACCUUGUAGAUGAACGUAAAAACCGUCUUUCCACACCAUUGGUUGCCACAUUGUCCGCUGUUUAAAGUGUAUGAUACUUCAGGCUUCUGAAUGUUGAGCCGGGGUGUAGGCUGUGUUGUGACCGGGGUGUAGACUGUGUUGUGACCGGGAUGUAGGCUGUGUUGUGACCGAGGUGUAGAUUGUGUUGUGACCGGGGUUGAGGUUAUGUAGUGACCGGGGUGUAGGCUACCGAAGCGGCAAUAUAGAUGGUUGAGAAUUCAGAGAAUGAGCUUCAGGGGGUGUCUCCCCGACCAUAACCCCACUAGGACUUCGUCCUUGACUCAAUGAGGGAUUCAGAACAGUCCCCAGACCCCUAUGCAGCCUUUUACCGCGCCCCCUACUCAGAAUUUCUGGACCCAUUUCACAAUUGAAUACAACUGUUUUCCUUAUCAUCUGAUUGUAAAAUCCACUAACAAUGAUUUUCCGAAACACGUCCUAGUUAAACUGAUAACUUAUCCAAUAUCAGGACUAUGUUCAACCUGUCUGUGAAACACGUUCUAAUUAAACUGAUAUCUUAUCCAAUCUCAGGACUUUCGGAAGGUCGGUGGUCUCUUCCCAGGUACAUUGUAUCUGGGUUCUCUCUCCCACCAAUAAAAACUGGGCACCACCAAAUAACUGAAAAAUUGUUGGGUGUGGCGGAAAACAUCAAUCAAUCAACCAACCAAUCAAUCAACCUGUCCGCGAAAAUCUGAUAUCUUAUCCAGUCUCAGGACUAUGUUCAAUCUGUUCAUUUACUGAUUCUUUAUUCCUUUUUGUCGGCAACUCAGUUGCAUUUUUUAAAAAUGUUAUGUACGUGUUUAAUUUGAAAUUGAAUCUAGCAAAAUAUCAUUUUCAGGCUUUCUGAUAUGUUAAGCUGUAUUCCAUAUAUAGUUGUCAGCAUUUCGUUUUGUAGAAAUUUUUUGUUUGAAUUUUUUGUUUAGAAUUUUUAUCCUUUACCGUGGUGAUUUGAUUUUUGAAGUUGAAGUAUGUGGGUUUUUUUUAUGUUGGUAUUCCUACAUGUAUGUAAUCUACAUCAACUGAAUUUUGCUUUGAAUUGAAUGUUUAAUGAUGUAGAAUUAAGGAAAUCAUUAAAUUUUGAAAAGUAUUAUUUCAGCCCCUCAGUUUGGAAAUGCCUUUAAGGAAAAGACAGUCACUUUUAUGAAAUGAAGUUUUAGUUUUGCAUUUUGUCAGAAAUAAAAACAUUUUCACGAAUUUAGCAAAUUUGUUGAAUUCCAAUUCUUUUAGCUAAAUUCAGAGAUGGUAUUUUACCAAUUAGGUUGAAAAUCGGUGAGAUACGAAUGAUAGAAUUGUACUUUUUCAUCUCUGAAUAUGAAGAUGAAAUCAAUUUUUAAAAAUGUAAUGUCUCGCAAAUGUUAAAUCUAUAGAAAAUCAAUCUGUCAGUAUGGGAUGUAAUCGAUAUUUUCGUAAAAUUUGGAAUUUAUAAAUGGAUCGGACCCGUGGGUUGUACUUUGGAUAUCUCCUUGUUAUAACACACGUAAAUAUAAUGAAAUAUUUACUUCAAAUAAAUCAAAUCAAAUGAUCUUUAUUUAAAGUCGGACGUGGUGUGUAAGUAUAACAAAACAACAUUAGCUCUAUUUAAGAGCUAUUCAAUAGAAAUUUUAAUAAAAAAAAUUUUGUUGCAUCUUUGUGAUAUUCUUCUUGUUUUAAAACAUACUCUGACAUUAUGAAAAUAGGUGCUGACAUUAUGAAAACGGUGCACAUAAAACGUCCUUUAUAUACAAGUGAAAGGCAGACCUUUUUUUCAUAAUAUUUCUAAAUACAAUACAAAUUUCUAUGGCUUAUGCCAAACAAAAAUAACAUGUUGUUUACC